rnacentral:rRNA from 1 species
AUUGAACGCUGGCGGCAGGCCUAACACAUGCAAGUCGAGCGGAUGAGUGGAGCUUGCUCCAUGAUUCAGCGGCGGACGGGUGAGUAAUGCCUAGGAAUCUGCCUGGUAGUGGGGGACAACGAUUCGAAAGGAACGCUAAUACCGCAUACGUCCUACGGGAGAAAGUGGGGGAUCUUCGGACCUCACGCUAUCAGAUGAGCCUAGGUCGGAUUAGCUAGUUGGUGAGGUAAAGGCUCACCAAGGCGACGAUCCGUAACUGGUCUGAGAGGAUGAUCAGUCACACUGGAACUGAGACACGGUCCAGACUCCUACGGGAGGCAGCAGUGGGGAAUAUUGGACAAUGGGCGAAAGCCUGAUCCAGCCAUGCCGCGUGUGUGAAGAAGGUCUUCGGAUUGUAAAGCACUUUAAGUUGGGAGGAAGGGCAGUAAGUUAAUACCUUGCUGUUUUGACGCUACCAACAGAAUAAGCACCGGCUAACUUCGUGCCAGCCGCCGCCGUAACAC